rnacentral:rRNA from 1 species
AUUGAACGCUGGCGGCAUGCUUUACACACGCAAGUCGAACGGUAACAGGCCGCAAGGUGCUGACGAGUGGCGAACGGGUGAGUAAUGCAUCGGAACGUGCCCAGUCGUGGGGGAUAACGCAGCGAAAGCUGUGCUAAUACCGCAUACGAUCUGUGGAUGAAAGCGGGGGACCGAAAGGCCUCGCGCGAUUGGAGCGGCCGAUGUCAGAGUAGGUAGUUGGUGGGGUAAAGGCUCACCAAGCCAACGAUCUGUAGCUGGUCUGAGAGGACGACCAGCCACACUGGGACUGAGACACGGCCCAGACUCCUACGGGAGGCAGCAGUGGGUAAUUUUGGACAAUGGGCGCAAGCCUGAUCCAGCAAUGCCGCGUGCAGGAAGAAGGCCUUCGGGUUGUAAACUGCUUUUGUACGGAGCGAAAAGGCUCUCUCUAAUACAGGGGGCUCAUGACGGUACCGUAAGAAUAAGCACCGGCUAACUACGUGCCAGCCGCCGCCGUAAUAC